CUCUUAGAGUAAACGGAUCCCUCCUCAUAUAUAUAUAUAUAUAUAUAUAUAUAUAUAACAUAUCAAGUGAGGGAAAAUUUAUUAUGAAAGAUGAGAGGGUUAAAAUAUAACUCUUAGAUUAAUUUUCUCUCACUUAUGCCCUGGGCGACACACGUGCUAUAAUGGACAGGACAAAGGAUCGCGAUCCCACGAGGGUGAACUAACUCUAAAAACCCGUCCUCAGAUCGGAUUAUAGGCUGCAACUCGCCUGCAUGAAGCUGGAAUCGCUAGUAAUCAUCGGUCAGCCAUACGGCAAUGAAUUUGUUCCCAGGCCUUGUACACACCGCCCGUCACAAUAUGGGAACUGGUCAUGUUCGAAGUCGUUACCUUAACCGUAAAGAGGAGGAUGCCAAAGGCAGGACUAGUGACUGGAGUGAAGUUAUAACAAGGUAACUGUAGAUAUGCUGAAAUUUAAAAAUUUGUAAAAUUAAUUUAAAAAUUAUAUUUUAAUCAUUUUAUCU
rnacentral:ncRNA from 1 species